CUAUUACUUGAUUGGCAAGUAAGUCAUCUCUCUUUGUUGAAAGAAACGGUGUAAAUGUAAGCUAAAGUAGCAUUGCAAUUUAACACUAGCCUUGGUAAAUUAAACAGCAAAAUACGUGAUAUUUUUAGUUUAUCAGUUGUUAAGAUAUAUGCUAUUGUACUGUGAUUAAAAAUGAACAAAAUUCUGAAUGAACAGCAAAUAUUUAUGUUGUUCUCCUUUUUUUAGACAAAGAGAAAAGAAGCUUCAAAGAUGAGCACAACAUCAGCCACUGUGACCAGAAGUAAGGAUAAAAAUUCAUUGAGAUGGAUGCUGAUUUAGUUGGAUAUGAUUUUAGUCAGAAUUUUAUUAGGUAAUGUUAUAAAUAUUUGUUUUUGUGAUGUAACAAGAGCAAGCUCAAGUUUUCAAUUCCAAAUUAUAUCUAUUGUAAAAAAUAUUAAACAGCUUGUGAUUCAGCAUGAUGUGGAAUCAUGCUGAAUCACAAGCCAUGCAAGGUUUUGUAGGAAAAUGACUUUUUUUUUUUCUUUUAUUGUUCAAUACAUUUACAGAAAUCAAACAGCAGGACCUCCAGGAUCUCCAUCGGCAGUUCCCCACCGUGAGGAUCAUCUUCUCUGCCAUCACUCAGAGGAGCCGAUGGAGAUACAGCCCCAAGAAAAUGGACAAAGCCAGGCGCUAUGUGAACAGUGUGAUGGCUACUUUUGUUUCAUCUGUUGGCGGAAGCAUUGUGCAUCAUCCUCAAAUAAAGCACAGAGAUCCUGGCCUUUUUUUAAACGAUGGAGUUCAUUUCACCACUUUGGGUAAUGACAUUUUUUUAAAUAAUAGUGCCUUGUGUUUGAAAGACCAAAUCUAGUAGGGUGGUGCUAGAUUUGGGAUUUCACCUACAAUAGGCAGCAAAAAAUGGUCAGGAUUUAUCUGCUUUAUUUGUGAUUGAUGUGCACAUUUUGUUUAAUUGUUUACUCGAGCACAAUUUUGUGAAGUUUGUUUUACAAAGGUAACCAUCACACUGUUCAAUUCUGUCACAGCUCUUCUUCCUCCUUCUCUCUCUCUCUCUGUCCUACAAACUUUCUGCCGUACCCCAGCCAUUCCACCCGAUGGUCUUCCUCAAGGC